UUAUCUUCCUUUGACUUCAUCAGGGGCUUCGUCAGGUUAGAGGUGGGGUGGGCAGAAGGCCUCCUUUAUUCCCAAUAGUUACAUAGUAUCUAGUGUUUAUUUUGCAUCAGUGAGACUCAUUUGAGCCGAAUAAAGAGAAGGAAAGUAUCACAACUAGUUUAUACCUUAAUUAAAGAAUGAAAGAGCCAAACGGUUUAUUCCAAAGUGAAUAAAGUACAAUGUGCUCUAACUCUAAAAUUCCAAUAAAGUUUUUUCCUUUU
rnacentral:lncRNA from 1 species